UCAUUGUCCAAAUCGUUGUUCUGGGACUAGGUGUUCAAAAUGAUGGGUUUCUUCCCUGUAAAAUUUCAUCAACUAAUACCUGGGUACUGGGUAUGAAUGACCCAUUGCAAUUUUCAAUUAAUACUGAAUUAUCUGGGCUUGUUUUUCAUCCCUCGAAUUUGGGGAUCUGCAUUUUAGAUUGAUUUGUUCAAUAGGAGGAGUUGUUUGGACUUUUGGAGCCAGAGUAGAUAGCGGAUUUUGGAGUGGCUAAGGUACGUGGUUGAUGCAACUGGAAAAGGGGCUAAAUCCAUGUCGGUCAUUGCCGGUUCUUGUGGUUACAUUGCUCCAGAUGGCUUACAAUGAAGAGGAAUUGGAAGAGUGAGCUUUUUUGGAUUGAUUCAUGCUUGAUGAUGAUCAUAAGUACCACUCAGGCUUAUACUUGCAAUGCGUUUUCUUCUUUAAUUUUGAAGCAGCCCAGUUUGAAGAUUUCCUCCAGUUGUCCCAAACUGAAGGGUUAGAUAUGAGUGCUGCAGUUCUGAAGAAUUUGAAAGCAUCAGAAGUUGCUGGUGGAGCCAAGGAAGUAUGCAGAGAAGCCAGCCAAGUUUGUGAGUCCAAAAUGCAGCCCCCACUUCAUCCAGCAGCCUCGUUGAAUCAGCUUACCUCUUAUGUAGUUUAGCUAAUGGCAAAACCAAAGUACUUGUCAUGUAUAGUUCCGUGGUGGAGUAAAAGAGAUGUUAGCCGUGAUCUUUUCAUGGCUGGUACUUCGAAGUUUCUUUGUUU